rnacentral:rRNA from 1 species
AUUGAACGCUAGCGGGAUGCUAUACACAUGCAAGUCGAACGGAGUGGCGGACGGGUUAGUAAUAUAUCGGAACGUGCCCAGUAGCGGGGGAUAACUACUCUAAAGAUUGGCUAAUAUCGCACACUAUUUGAGCGGCCGAUACCGGAUUAGCUAGUUGGUGGGGUAAAGGCUCACCAAGGCAACAAUCCGUAGCUGGUUUGAGAGGACGACCAGCCACACUGGGGCUGAGACACGGCCCAGACUACUACGGUAGGCAGCAGUGGGGAAUUUUGGACAAGGGGGGAAACCCUGAUCCAGCCAUCCCGCGUGUAUGAUGAAGGCCUUCGGGUUGUAAAGUACUGUUGGCAGAGAAGCGGUAUCUGCAGAAUAAGCACCGGCUAACUACGUGCCAGCAGCCGCGGGAAUAC